rnacentral:sRNA from 1 species
CCGCACCCCGCGGCAGGAUCUAGCCCCCGGCCCCGCCCCACACCGCUUCACCCUCCGCCCCUGCAGGCCCGCGACACGGUCACGUCCGAACUGGCCGCCGUGAAGAUAGUCAAGCUAGACCCAGGGGACGACAUCAGCUCCCUCCAGCAGGAAAUCACCAUCCUGCGUGAGUGCCGCCACCCCAAUGUGGUGGCCUACAUUGGCAGCUACCUCAGGUGAGGCUGCCUUAUCCUCCUGGCCCCAGGCAGCCCCCAUGUGACCUGCUUUGUGCCCACCCCAGCUCUUUGUCCCUAGGAAUGACCGCUUGUGGAUCUGCAUGGAGUUCUGCGGAGGGGGCUCCCUGCAGGAGAUUUACCAUGCCACUGGGCCCCUGGAGGAGCGGCAGAUUGCCUACGUCUGCCGAGAGGCACUGAAGGGGCUCCACCACCUGCAUUCUCAGGGGAAGAUCCACAGAGACAUCAAGCUGACUUUGGGGUGUCAGGCGAGCUGACAGCGUCUGUGGCCAAGAGGAGGUCUUUCAUUGGGACUCCCUACUGGGCCCUGAUGCUCAUGUCGAAGAGCAGCUUCCAGCCGCCCAAACUGAGAGAUAAGACUCGCUGGACCCAGAAUUUCCACCACUUUCUCAAACUGGCCCUGACCAAGAAUCCUAAGAAGAG